GGUUGCGAUCAUACCAGCACUAAUGCACCGGAUCCCAUCAGAACUCCGCAGUUAAGCGUGCUUGGGCGGAGUAGUACUAGGAUGGGUGACCCCCUGGGAAGUCCUCGUGUUGCAACCC
rnacentral:rRNA from 1 species